UACGGAGGGUGCAAGCGUUAUCCGGAUUUACUGGGUUUAAAGGGUGCGUAGGUGGGUAGGUAAGUCAGUGGUGAAAUCUUCGAGCUUAACUCGGAAACUGCCAUUGAUACUAUUUAUCUUGAAUACUUUGGAGGUAAGCGGAAUAUGUCAUGUAGCGGUGAAAUGCUUAGAUAUGACAUAGAACACCAAUUGCGAAGGCAGCUUACUACACAGUUAUUGACACUGAGGCACGAAAGCGUGGGGAUCAAACAGG
rnacentral:rRNA from 3 species